rnacentral:rRNA from 1 species
UUGCCUCAGUAACGGCGAGUGAAGCGGCAACAGCUCAAAUUUUAAAGCUGGCGUCUUCGACGCCCGCGUUGUAAUUUGGAGAGGCAUCUUCGGUUUGGGCGCCAGCCUAUGUUCCUUGGAACAGGACGUCACAGAGGGUGAGAAUCCCGUGCUUGGCUGGCUGUCCCUUGCCAUGUGAAGUGCCUUCGACGAGUCGAGUUGUUUGGGAAUGCAGCUCAAAAUGGGUGGUAAAUUCCAUCCAAAGCUAAAUAUUGGCGGGAGACCGAUAGCGCACAAGUAGAGUGAUCGAAAGAUGAAAAGCACUUUGAAAAUAGAGUUAAAAAGUACGUGAAAUUGUUGAAAGGGAAGCGCUUGAGACCAGACUCGGCCGGAGAUGAUCAGCCGUCCUUCUGGGCGGUGCACUUGUCUCCGGUCGGGCCAGCAUCGGUUGAGACGGCGGGAUAAAGGCCCGGGGAAUGUGGCUCCUUUCGGGGAGUGUUAUAGCCCCGGACGCAAUGCCGCCAGCCUCGACCGAGGACCGCGCUUUUUGCUAGGAUGCUGGCGUAAUGGUCUUCAGCGACCCGUCUUGAAACACGGACCAAGGAGUCUAACAUCUAUGCGAGUGUUUGGGUGUCAAACCCUUGCGCGUAAUGAAAGUGAACGGAGGUGGGAACCCCCUCGCGGGGCGCACCAUCGACCGGUCCUGAUGUCUUCGGAUGGAUCUGAGUAGGAGCAUAGCUGUUGGGACCCGAAAGAUGGUGAACUAUGCCUGAAUAGGGUGAAGCCAGAGGAAACUCUGGUGGAGGCUCGCAGCGGUUCUGACGUGCAAAUCGAUCGUCAAAUUUGGGUAUAGGGGCGAAAGACUAAUCGAACCAUCUAGUAGCUGGUUCCUG